GCUCGCUUAGCUCAGUUGGUUAGAGCGUCGUACUAACAAUGCGAAGGUCGCCAGUUCGACCCUGGUAAGUGAACA
rnacentral:tRNA from 2 species